GACAGCAGUCGCCACGGGAAUACAGAGGGUGCGAGCGUUAAUCGGAUUUACUGGGCGUAAAGCGUGCGUAGGCGGCUUCUUAAGUCGGAUGUGAAAUCCCUGAGCUUAACUUAGGAAUUGCAUUCGAUACUGGGAAGCUAGAGUAUGGGAGAGGAUGGUAGAAUUCCAGGUGUAGCGGUGAAAUGCGUAGAGAUCUGGAGGAAUACCGAUGGCGAAGGCAGCCAUCUGGCCUAAUACUGACGCUGAGGUACGAAAGCAUGGGGAGCAAACAGGAUUAGAUACCCCCGUAGUCCCUGUCUCUUAUAA
rnacentral:rRNA from 1 species